GCUGGGCAUGGUGGUGUGUGCCUGUAGUCCUAGUUACUCAGGAGGCUGAGAUGGGAGGAUCACUUGAGCCCAGGAGGUCAAGGCUGCAGUGAGCUGAGAUUGUGCCACUGCACUCCAGCCUGGGCAACUGAGUGAGGCCCUGUCUCAA
rnacentral:SRP_RNA from 1 species